GACGAACGCUGGCGGCGUGCCUAACACAUGCAAGUCGAACGAAAAGUUCCGGUCUUUGGGCGCAGGGCUGCGGACGGCGUGGGGAGCUACACGUGGGUACGCAAUAACUCCCCGAGAGGGAUCCUAAUGCCAGAUAGUGUCUUAGCACCUAGGAUUUAUGGCGUUUGGGUGGGCCCUCGUUGGAUUCGCUGGUUGGUAGGGUAAAAGCCUACCAAGGGGACGAUCCAUAGCUGGUCUGAGAGGAUGAUCAGCCACACUAGGACUGAGACACGGCCCAGACUCGUACGGGAGGCAGCAGUGGGGAACAUUGGACAAUGGGCGAAAGCCUGAUCCAGCAAUGUCGGGUGAGUGAUGAAGGCCUUAGGGUUGCAAAGCUCUUUUACCCGGGAUGAUAAUGACAGUACCGGGAGAAUAAGCUCCGGCUAACUCCGUG
rnacentral:rRNA from 1 species